rnacentral:snRNA from 1 species
AUAAGUUCUGUGGGAUGAUUCCUUAAAUAAAAUAAAAGAAAAAAAAUCUGUUCUUAUCAGUUAAUAUCUGAUAUGUCCUCCAUGUGAGGACUACAUAUUAAACGCAUUUUUAGCACUGGGAGCUGAACGAGAGGCUUGCUCCUUUCACUCCACGCAUCGACCCGGCAUUGCAGUGCCGCCGGGAACGGUGCACCCUNG